ACGCCCCUCGGGCCCGGGCCUGGCUGACUUGGAGUCAGUGGGUGCCCCCCGCACGCCGGGACACCCUACAGCCUUCUGGGGAAGGCGGCGCCCUUGGGACCCCCAGGCCACCGGUGGCAGGGAUGCAAUGGCCCGCGUAGGGGUGGCAGGGGCGCUUCCUCGGGAGCCUCAGCCCCUCCAGCCGCCCAGCGCCCUGCCAGGCCUCUUCCCGGCGCUCCCGCCGCCAGGCCCGCAUUAUUCACCAUCUGGGCAGCACCCAAGGCCUGGAGGGGGCGGGGCAGGUCCAGGCGGAUCGGCUCCCGGGGGUCGCCCAGACUCCAGGGCUCCAAAUUCACUGGGUGCGCUGGAACGCGGCACACAGUAGUAGUAUGCCCUGCUUAAUACAUACAGGACAUAUUUGAGGCCCCUUCCAGGGGUGGGGUGGGAGGACAGAGGGAUGGGGGGUGCACCAGACGACACAGCCAGACUGAGAAAGGUGGUCCCAGAGCAGGUGAGCCGGGAGGGCUGGGGUGAUGGCAUCGCAUGGGAGGGUCUCUUGAGGAGGCUCGGAGGUGGCUUUGGAGCCAGAGGAGGAACAGUCUGGAGCCGGGAGGCUGCAGUGGGGGAUGGGCACUCUUUCCUGGCCACCCCCCAGCUCGGGCUGGGGAAGGAGGGAUGGAGCCCAACAGGAAUGGCUGAGAAGGUGCCGGACGCAGGGACUGGGACCGUCUCUUUGCAGAGGGGGGACCUUGGGCUUCCUUGGCCUUGUUUGUACACCCGAGCCGGACAGAACCUUGAGUUAGGGACCUGGAGUGGGACCGGACAAGCUGACCUUGCCCUGACUGCACCCCACCCCGUCCCCUGGGCCCGGGAGGGCUGCUAGUCCAGGCUGUGAGUGAGGGGUAUUCCCAGCCUGGCCCGGCCCUCUCGUCAGCCCAGUCCGGAAGCCCCUUCCCCGGCUACCCCGCCCACUAUCCUUCCUCCUCCUGGCCUUCGGCCACACCCAACCUCCCUCCCAAAGCUCUAUCCCAUUAAGUCACCAGCCAUUUAACACAACUUCUCUCUUUCCUGGCAAGGAGGCUAUCCAACUCCUAUGGAUGUGGCAAAACCCUGGCUCCAAGGCUGCUUUCCCGUGAAGCCGACCUAAUCUCCAAGUCUUACUCUCCCCAACCCCUCUCUGUGUUCAGCUUAUACAGUGGGACAAUUAUGAGCUCCAAGUGAGACCUGAAACCAGGCCUGCCCUUCAGGAUGCCCUAGGCUGGAGAAUGAACUGGACACAGGCUGUUCCAGCCCCCUGGGGUCAGGGCUGGGCCAAAGGAAGAGACAGGGCCUAGGGAAGCCCAGAGGUGAGCUAGGAAGACAUCUUGUGAGGAGAGGGCAUGGGAAGUGGGGUUUUGUAGGAUGAAUAGGAGCUCCCCAGGUCUGGGCUACGUGGCAGUGACAGGAAUUGCAUGUAUAAAGCUUUGGAGGCAAGAGAGAGCAUGAGGCCCUUGCUACACUAACUGCAAGGAGGGCAGAUGUUGGGGGAGGAGGAUGUGGGGCUGGGGCUCCAGAUGAGGGGGCAGUGAGAGACGGAGGAAGGCUGUCCUGUCCCCACUUCCUCUGUCCUCGGCCCUGAGAUAACAAGGACAAUGACUCUUCUGGGAAACAGCCUGGGCAGAGUUCAGAGAAGGACACUUGCAUUUAGCUUAAGCCUCACCACAUCUCUGCAAGGCAGGGGGUAAAGAUACUCUUAAAUUUUAGAGAUGGGGAAACUGAGGCACAAAGGGGGAACAAUGCCACGCCCAUGUGUGGGAUUGGAACAUGAGCACUGGGCUUCCCUGUCAUCUGGGGCUGGUUGCUGGUCUCCCGGUCUUGGCCCGCCCCCCGCCCCCCACCCCCCGCCAGCACUUCGGGUUCAAUGGGAGCACAGGAGGCUCUGGUGGGAGGAGUUGUGAGGGGCUGGGGGGCAGAUGGUGGGAACAGAGGCCAGGCUCAGGAUGUACCCCCGUGGCUGCGGUUUCCGGCGGGGGCCGGGCAGGGAGCGUCUAUUCUUAGCUCUGGACACAGCCAAAGUCAGGAAGCUGGGUGGGGGCGGGGGCAGCUUCCAGGACACCAGGUGGACCUCGGGCCAUGGUGGAGAGUCAUGGGGUAGAUGGGGGGGUGGUGUGCAGAGCCUACCCCUGGCCCCCACCUCCAGUCUGCCUGCAGGGUCUCGACACCCAGCUCGGAGGCCCUCCCCAGCUCACGCGCCCUCCGUAGCUCCCUGGUGCCCAGCUCCCCUAGGAUCUGGCUCCUUAGCUUGGCCUGAGCCCUGUGUGCCCCCUGCCCUGGGCACACCUGCUGCCCUGUCCUCUGCAAGGCAGCCGUCACCCUUCUCGGCCAGCAGCCCGUCUUCCCAGGCUCAGUGCCCGUGACCCUUCAGGGGUCCCAGGGCCCCAGCUCUGCUCCCUCCAGACUGGGGCCCCUGGCAAACCAUGUGUCUUGCCAGUUGGAGGACAGCCAUCUCCCUUGGGG
rnacentral:lncRNA from 1 species